rnacentral:rRNA from 1 species
UACGAGGGGGGCAAGCGUUGUUCGGAAUUAUUGGGCGUAAAGGGCGCGUAGGCGGUGCGGUAAGUCACCUGUGAAACCUCUAGGCUCAACCUAGAGCCUGCAGGCGAAACUGCCGUGCUUGAGGGUGGGAGAGGUGCGUGGAAUUCCCGGUGUAGCGGUGAAAUGCGUAGAUAUCUGCAGGAACACCCGUGGCGAAAGCGGCGCGCUGGACCACAACUGACGCUGAGAUGCGAAAGCCAGGGGAGCAAACGGG